rnacentral:rRNA from 1 species
CUCUCAAGGACAAGCUGUGAUGGGGAGCGAAAUUUAGUAGCGAAGUUCCUGAUGUCACACUGCCAAGAAAAGCUUCUAGUGAGAAAGUAACUGCCCGUACCGCAAACCGACACAGGUAGUUGAGGAGAGAAUCCUAAGGUGUGCGAGAGAACUCUCGUUAAGGAACUCGGCAAAAUGACCCCGUAACUUCGGGAGAAGGGGUGCUGACCGCAAGGUCAGCCGCAGUGAAUAGGCCCAAGCGACUGUUUAUCAAAAACACAGGUCUCUGCAAAAUCGAAAGAUGACGUAUAGGGGCUGACGCCUGCCCGGUGCUGGAAGGUUAAGAGGAGAGGUUAGCGCAAGCGAAGCUUUGAAUUGAAGCCCCAGUAAACGGCGGCCGUAACAAUAACGGUCCUAAGGUAGCGAAAUUCCUUGUCGGGUAAGUUCCGACCCGCACGAAAGGCGUAACGAUUUGGGCACUGUCUCAACGAGAGACUCGGUGAAAUUAUAGUACCAGUGAAGAUGCUGGUUACCCGCGACAGGACGUAAGACCCCAUGGAGCUUUACUGCAGUUUGAUAUUGUGUGUUUGUAUCACAUGUACAGGAUAGGUAGGAGCCGAAGAUACCGGGACGCCAGUCUCGGAGGAGGCAACGGUGGGAUACUACCCUUGUGAUAUGACCACUCUAACCCGCUGCUCUUAGCGAGCAGGGAGACAGUGUCAGACGGGCAGUUUGACUGGGGCGGUCGCCUCCAAAAAUGUAACGGAGGCGCCCAAAGGUUCCCUCAGAAUGGUUGGAAAUCAUUCGUAGAGUGUAAAGGCAGAAGGGAGCUUGACUGCGAGACCUACAAGUCGAGCAGGGACGAAAGUCGGGCUUAGUGAUCCGGUGGUUCCGCAUGGAAGGGCCAUCGCUCAACGGAUAAAAGCUACCCUGGGGAUAACAGGCUUAUCUCCCCCAAGAGUUCACAUCGACGGGGAGGUUUGGCACCUCGAUGUCGGCUCAUCGCAUCCUGGGGCUGUAGUCGGUCCCAAGGGCUGGGCUGUUCGCCCAUUAAAGCGGUACGCGAGCUGGGUUCAGAACGUCGUGAGACAGUUCGGUCCCUAUCCGUCGCGGGCGUUGGAAAUUUGAGAGGAGCUGUCCUUAGUACGAGAGGACCGGGAUGGACACACCGCUGGUGUACCAGUUGUUCUGCCAAGAGCAUCGCUGGGUAGCUAUGUGUGGACGGGAUAAACGCUGAAAGCAUCUAAGCGUGAAGCCCCCCUCAAGAUGAGAUUUCCCAUCACUUUAAGUGAGUAAGACCCCUGAGAGAUGAUCAGGUAGAUAGGUUGGGAGUGGAAGUACAGCGAUGUAUGGAGCGGACCAAUACUAAUCGGUCGAGGACUUAACCC